AGUGGCAGAGUGGCCUUGC
rnacentral:snRNA from 1 species